AAGCAUAACUCUUAAAGACAAGAAAAAUAAAUGAAGAGCCUCGAUCAAAACGGAAGGGUGAUUCAAAACACAACAAAGAAAACCCAUCUAGCUUCCCCUGAGAACAAAACUUAGCAUCAAUUGUCUUUCUACAAAAUUUCGUUCUUCUGAUAGAUAAAUACGCUGCUGCAGAUAAACUAGAAUCAAACAUCCACCGUUGGUCCCGUUCUACCAGAUCCGUCGCUUCUCCAGGACCACAAACUGUCAUUACAUGUAGCAUAGAUUCUGGCAGCAAUCCAAAUCGUAGACAGAUAGGAGUACGGGGAAAAACAUUCUUGACCGAUCAGCCAUUCGGAUCCCACAAAUCAUGAGGCGUAAGUGCAAUUAAGGGU